CACCAGUAUAAAUUUCGUAUAUGAAACGUCGAAGUCGUUUAAUAAUGGUAUAAGUAUAAAAUUCAACCGUAUCACAUAUACUGUAAUAUUUCGGAUGGAUAUUAUUCGUAUGAUUACUCUGUUUAUUAUGCGUAUUUCAUUAUACAGAAGUUUAAAAUACGUAUUAUUAUAGCAAAAGCAACGUAUAGUAUAUUUGUUCAUUAUUCGUACGAAAAUCGUUUAAAACUUAUAUGUUUAACGAUGUUGGUACUCCAUCUUUCAACGUUUUAUCAGAAUCGUUUCAUUUGAAUUUACAAAUUACGAGCUAUUAACGUUCACGAAAUUCGUUUAUGAUUUUGGUAAUCACAACAUAUAAUAUUCAUUCAUGACACAACUGCCAGCAACUUUAAUUAGACGUUUAUCAUACUUCCUAUUCACCAUUGCACAGCAGUAUAUUGAUUGUUUUAUGAACGUAUAUCUUCGACUAUUAUAAUGUACGUUUUAUUGGUAUUUCUGAUCUACGCGUGAUAGACGUUUAUGAAAUUCAUUUUCAAUCUUGGUGUCUACAACAUCUAUAUAUAUAUAUAUUAGGGUGUGUCGAAAAUGAACUUUUUUUUUUUCUUCGCUCCUACCACUCAAAACUUUAGGUUUUGACAUUAAAGAGGUCCUCGUUCAAGGAGGGCGCUGUAGCUUGAAGUUUAGAAGUCGCUCAACGAGGAUUUAGGUUUCCCAUCUAAUUAACACGUAAAAAAUAUUGUUUUUCGUUCAAAAUGAUGUCAGGCAACCAUAAAAUUGGCGAUGUCUGUAUUUCUUGGCUUAUUUGAAAGCAUGACUCAUCCCCUAAACGAUGAUAGGUCGUUUUUCGACUUACCUUGUUCCAAUUUUUUUUUACGCCACUUUUCGACCACAAUAGUCACUUUUUCAAGUUUACAAAGUCUCCAAGGUAUCAAUGAGUCCAAAAUGAAUUGCUACAAGUAUUGAUUCUUGAUUCGAAUAUAAAUAACCAAUUCUAAAAAUUGGUAAAUUCCGUAUCUUCAAUUUUAUUCAAAAAACCAUGUUUAUUUUGAGAAAUUUUGUAUGUUUCACUAAUUUUUGGAAUUGGUUAUUUAUAUUCGAAUCAAGAAUCAAUACUUGUAGCAAUUCAUUUUGAACUCAUUGAUACAUUGGAGACUUUGUAAACUUGAAAAAGUGACUAUUGUGGUCGAAAAGUGGCGUAAAAAAAAUUGGUACAAGGUAAGUCGAAAAACGACCUAUCAUCGUUUAGGGGAUGAGUCAUGCUUUCAAAUAAGCCAAGAAGCACAGAAAUCGCCAAUUUUUUGGAUGCCUGACAUCAUUUUGAACGAAAAACAAUAUUUUUUACGUGUUAAUUAGAUGGGAAACCUAAAUCCUCGUUGAGCGACUUCUAAACUUCAAGCUACAGCGCCCUCCUUGAACGAGGACCUCUUUAAUGUCAAAACCUAAAGUUUUGAGUGGUAGGAGCGAAGAAAAAAAAAAGUUCAUUUUCGACACACCCUAAUAUAUAUAUAUAUAUAUAUAUAUAUAUAUAUAUAUAUUGUACAUUCAUCAUACAACUACCAGCAACCCCAAUUAAGCGCUUAAUUAUUGCGGUUUUCCACUAUUGCACAGAAAUAUAUUCAUCGUUUGAUGAACGUAUUUUUUCAACGAUUAUUGUUCACGUUUUACUGCUACUUGUGAUCUACGUUCAAUAACCGUUUAUGAAAUUUAUUCAAUAUCGGACUAUUUUCAAGAUACAUUGAAUUGUAUAAUAUGUAUAUUUGAUCAAAUGGGUUCAUACUUGUUUUACUUCAACACGAUUGAGGAAAAUUCAACGUUGAGUACAAUAUUCAGAUUAUGAACGCACUUUUAGUAUUCAUGUAUGCGGAACCGCCUGAUGCCAAGCGGUGGCCAAAUCAGUUGAUUAUCUUAUAAUUAGUUUCCGAAAAAUGGACUUUAAUUACCCGUUAUUUUGAUGCCAAUAUUAUGUGGUAACUAAAGCUGAACACUGAUCUUGUAUUCAUUUACCGGUGCAUGGAACAUAGAUAUAACCAAUAAAAGGAAGAGAAUAAAGAAGUGUCCGAAACGUGAAUAAUUUCGUACCAAGAAUAAUAAUUUAUUGUACAUUUUUAUAAUUAUUUCACAAUAUUGGUUAUCAUAUUAUAAUAUAUUAAAUCUCAUUAUUUGGCACGAAUUACGUCAAGACUUCAAUAUCUUGUAUGAGUACUUGCUAAAACAAGCGUUCAUCAUAUCCUGUCGCAUUUUUAACGUCGUUUGUACGUUUAUUUUUCGCGCUAUUUUAUCGGAGUUCUGUGCGUUAUACAUUGUGUCACUACUGAUAUAUUAUUCUCCUGCUCUGGUGCGUCAGCGUCGGUAACGCUGCAAGCUAGAGUAAGAGCGCAAUAAUUAUAUGUAGAGACAGAACUUAUCCCAUGGACCGCGCAUUCAUACAGUAAGUGUAAGUAUAGCGAGUGGUAAGACAAGGACAGCUCGGAAUAACACGGGCAUAUAUGGCAAAGUUGAUUCCCUUUUGGGCACGAUCUCUCUGUCGCUCUUGCGUCUCCUCUAUCUUUGUCUUUGUCUGGGAGCCUAUAUUCAUCCCCACCCUUGCAACUGGCCUCAGGCGCUGGUUAUGGCGUUAUUCGUCAACCGAAUGCGGAGGUGCUCGGAUCGAUCGGUGAUCGUGUAGCAAAAAAGGUGAGAAGCUAUUGUUAAUCUGCGGCCUAGACGGAAGAAGCAAAUUCGUCAUUAAAUAACGCUGUUUUCAGAGUGGUGUGCGGAUAUUUACGACAAAUAAGGCAAGCACGUUAAAGCGUACAUCAUUUCUUGUCUGGUGUGUAUUAUUAUUUAGUUUUAUAACAUGCCUCAUGAUUUAAAAGUUCUGAGUAAACGACAUUUGCGUCGCAAAACAGCUAUAAAUACUCGUAAAGUAUUACUGAGUAUUGCAGGCAAUAAUUGUGCACUCGAGCACCUUACGAAAUCACAAUUAAAAGAUGCUAGUCAUGAACAUGUGUCUUGUAUCGGAGAAUAUGUGCACUCUAUAGAUAGCGAUUAUGAUGUUGAUCAUAUCCAUCAAAGUAAUGAACAGAAUGAAGAAAACUCUAAUUCGAACCGCGAUAAUAAAGAUUUCAAAGACAUCGAAAGUGACAUAGAUAGCAUCAAAGCUACGUUGUACAGUUCUGAAGAUAAUUCAAGUUCCGUCAGCGAUGAAGUGCAUUUAGAUGAUGAAACGAACUUUGUUGAAAAUUUGCGCGACUGGGCAUCUUCAAAUAACAUCACACAUAACGCGAUCGAUCAAUUGCUAGCAUUAUUGAAACCAGCACAUCCUAUCUUACCCUUAAGUGCUAGGACUCUACUUCACACGUCACGACGUAUUGAAACGUUAAAUUUAGACAACGGAGAAAUGUGUUAUUUCGGUUUGGAGAAAUGCUUGAGACAAAAACUCGAGUCAGGUCUCAAAAAAGGACUGUCACCUGAACAUACGUUGCGAGUUGAUUUUAAUAUUGAUGGGAUUCCCGUUUAUAAAAGUAGCGGAACAUCAUUUUGGCCAAUUUUGGGACGCAGUAUUUCAAUGAUCGAUGAUAGCCCAUUUGUAAUUGGUGUUUAUUAUGGUACGGGUAAACCGAUGCCACUAUCUUCAUAUUUACGAGAUUUAAUUAAAGAAACGUCACGUUUAAGCACCAAUGGUUUUGAGUUUAAUGGCACCAAAUACUUUGUCAGAGUUGGUUUAUUCGCGUGUGACGCGCCCGCGAGAUCUAUGUUGAAAAUGUGUUUAGGACAUUCGGGUAAGGAUGCUUGCGAGAGGUGUAAGAUUCGCGCAGUUCAUCUCAACCGUAAACUGUGUUAUCCAUGUGACACCGAAUUCCAGAAGCGAAAAGAUAGUGAUUUUGUUGCACCUAGUGAAAACGAUCGUCACGUUAAAGGACGUUCGCCUCUUUUAGAUCUUUACGUGGGACUAGUCUCCCAAUUUCCUUUAGAUCCCAUGCAUUUAAUCUACCUGGGAAUUUUGAAGAGGUUGCUCCUUAAAUACUGGGUCGAGGGUUCACGUGAUUGCAAAUUGUCUAAGGAUAUUUUGUUAGAAAUUGAACGUAUAAUGAAACUAUUGGCGCGAUAUGUUCCGGCAGAGUUUCCUCGAAAGCCCCGUGGAUUUUUGGAUUUGCAUCGAUGGAAAGCGACAGAAUUUAGAUUUUUCUUGUUAUAUUCCGGCCCUGUUGUAAUGCGGGAUGUGCUAGAUCGAAAAAAGUACAAACAUUUUUUAUUAUUGUCUGCCGCCGUGUAUAUUCUAUCGAAUACAGCCUUGUUCUCGCGUUUUCGAAACAUCGCGCAAGAUAUGAUCGAAAAAUUCGUUACUCAAGGUGCUAAGAUAUACGGACAAAACUUUGUCGUAUAUAAUGUACAUUCGCUGCUGCAUGUCAUAGACGACGUAGAACGAUUUGGCCCAUUAGAAGAAUACAGUUGCUUUGUGUAUGAAAAUCAUUUGGGCCAUUUGAAACGACUUAUUCGAUCGAAACGCUUGCCGCUGCAGCAGCUGAGUAAUCGACUUGAAGAACUAAGUUCUAUUCGUAAAACUAAUUGUCAGGAAAAAUUUAUUCCUAAACCCAAAUUUAUUGGAAAUUCUCGUGAAUGUCAGGCUCUGGAAACGAAAAAAUUCAAAAUAUCAAUAAAAAGGCCGGAUAAUGUAGUAGCUUGUGGGACAGAAAUAUUAGUGAUCAAAUCAAUCCUUUUCAUUGCCGGAGAAUAUAGAAUUAUAGGUACUCCGUUCAAGUACAAGCGAGACCUUUAUCAGAAACCUAUUAAAUCUUCCAAACUAGGGAUUUUUUUCGUAAGAAGUUUCAACGUAGCGAAAUCUUAUCGCGUCGAUGAUAUAUUACAUAAAUUCGUCUGUCUUCCAUUUAAAGAUGGUUUCGCAGUAACUCCGAUACUACACGAAAUGAAAUAAAAUUUUUAUUUUUUGUUAAACAUCUCAACGAAACGAGCUCUCGACAAAAAACAGAUGAUGAACCUACGAUUCUCGGCAAUGUGUACGAGGAAGAGGGAUUCGUUCAAGACAUGUAUAGUAUGUCUAUGUCUACCUCGCACACAUUCCCGAGAAUCGUAGGUUCAUUAUCUCUUUUAUAUUAAAAGUUUGCUUCAAUUGAGAUGUUUAGCAAAAAAUAACAUUAUCGUAUACCUAUUACCAUAUACCGUAUAUGCCGAGUCUAAUUUACCUAGUAGUCCAAUAUACCCAACUCUACCAUAUGUUCAUAACAUCACUUUUGAGCUGAUUUAUUAUAGUUUUGUACGUCACAUUGACGUUCAAGUAUUGGUUAGACAUGCGUUCCCAAAAUCUUCAUAAUGUUUCAUGAUCGAUUCAUCUUUUAACUUAUAUACUACCUUGCAUAUUCCUAUGUUGAUGUCCUAAUUAAAAACUUUUAAACUGGCACUUUUUGCUCAGAGUGGAAUAAAAGUGCUUGAAUUUUGAUCAAAUAUAAAUUUAUACACCAGACUAGAGAAUAUGAUACAUUUAACGAUGUUUUUACUCAGUCGUGCUGCAGAACUAUGUAUGCGGUGAUUGAAUUCUUGGUUGGCGAAGAUAGAGAAUGCGCAUUGGUACCAGUUCUUUGGCUGGUCGAAAACAACACCCAAUGUUACUGGCCACGGACAAAAACUGAAGAUCAUUUUACAAAACUUGUAAAAUCAAAGGCUGCCUAUGAAAAAACAUGGCCAAAGUUUGCCAUUCACAAAGUACUGCAUACCGGAGAUGACUACCACGACACCGAAGCAACGAUGGCGCGCCUACUGGAGCUGGGCACGUCCGAUGAAUCCGGAAUAAUUCGCAACAUCGCUAAAAAAUCCACUGUAAUACCUCAGCAAGAUAUUACCAAUGACGUGGACGAGAAUGAAGCUACGAACAGUGAUGAUGUCGAACCUGAGCCGCAAAAGAAAAAACGUAAACACAAAACCGACAAGAAGAAGGCUAAAAAUCGACACGUUAGUAACAAAAAAAAAAAAACGAAGCGUUCUCGUGAAAGUUCAAGUAGUUUAGGUUACACCUCUUCAGCUGACGAGAAUUUGCCACCGUCCGAAGUCGAUGAAUCGACUUCUAACCGUAAUAAGAAUACUCGCUACAUUAACUCAGCCAAAGGAUCUACCAAAAAUCAGACACCAAAGAAAAACUUGGCCCACAAGAUCGUACAGCACCAGUAUAAUGAUAAUUCCCAUGAGUCACCGAAUCAGUUGUCUGGAUAUGAAACAUCAAAUAGAAACAUUUCUAGUAGGAUCAUCAGGUCUACCACGCAAUAUGACUUAUCAAGAUCCUUUUCACAACUUGAACCUUCAACCCCGACCACAUCACGCGAACAGAAUACCUUUGAAGAAAAAACUCUGCAGUAUUUAGAACACAUUAAAUCCUACACUGAACAAAACCAUCUGCUACUACGUAAAAUCUUCUCAAAACAGAAGGAAGUCAGCAUCGACGUAACAAAGAAACCAGCCGAAUUCCCAAAACUUCCUCUUAACUCCAUGGAAGACUUCUCCAACCUCGAAAAUAUCCUGAAAUCCGAAGAGCAUCGAACUUAUUUAUAUUUUGUUGCAGACCGGGAAACUGGCUUCUAUUGGAGGGACAAGCGGUCGCCAAUGUGUGUUGGCUAUAAUGAGGUCACUACUCACAAACGAAUUAGCGAUGCAAUUCAAUUGGGCAGGGAGGGACAAAGUCUCAUUUCAAAAGACAUUGACAAUGGAAACUGUUUACGAGGCUGUGAAACAAACCUUUCUUGGCAAGAAGGAAAUUGGUGAUGCAACCGAAACCAGUGUUUCGUGUGCCGUGAAAGACUGGUUAAAACUAGCUCGAUCACGGCAUACCUAUGUACGAAAGAAGGGCUAAGAAACUGUGGUAAACGUCAACUAAUUUUAAAAACAGUCAUAUAAAAGUACAAAUCAUACAGGCAUAUAAAUAUUUCUGAUAUAAGUGUAAUAUUCUUAGCGUUUUCUGUUAGUUGUAACUACCGUGAAGACGAAAGUAUAGUGUAGGUUGAGCUGUGUCUAUGAGCUACAAGAUGUACCUUUUUUUUUGAUAAAUGAGUAUUUAUAGAUAUAAGAUAUUUGUGUAACGUUCUAACAAAGAUAUAAUAAAAUCGAUUCACAUAUAUAAACUAAAUUCGUACGCUUUCUAACUCAACCCAGACUUGUUUCUAGCUAACGUGAAAUGAUCUUCCUCUAUAGCAGUGUACUAUAUACGCUUUCAAUUACACAUCCAAGAUACGUUAUGUAUUCAAGUCUAGAGGUCCAAUUAAAAACGUUUUUUAACACUGUAUAAUAUUCGUUUAGACAUAAAUAAUGAAAGAUUAAAGCGUCAUUAACAGAAAACAUUUUGUCACGUUAGUUAAACGGACAUUGUCAACACA
rnacentral:misc_RNA from 1 species